UACGAAGGGGGCUAGCGUUGCUCGGAAUCACUGGGCGUAAAGGGUGCGUAGGCGGGUUUUUAAGUCAGGGGUGAAAUCCUGGAGCUCAACUCCAGAACUGCCUUUGAUACUGAAGAUCUUGAGUCCGGGAGAGGUGAGUGGAACUGCGAGUGUAGAGGUGAAAUUCGUAGAUAUUCGCAAGAACAUCAGUGGCGAAGGCGGCUCACUGGCCCGGUACUGACGCUGAGGUGCGAAAGCGUGGGGAGCAAACAGG
rnacentral:rRNA from 1 species